GUGAUGGGUCGCCCCACCGCGGCGCCAGACGCAAGGAUGGCGACGAGGAAAGUCCGGGCAACGCAGAGCACCCUGCUUCCUAACGGGAAGGACUGGCGCGCGUAAUGCAACCCAGGACAGCCAGUGCCACAGAAAAUUACCGCCCGGCGGUAGUCGUCAGCUGCUCAUUAUCAGUUGUUAGCUCAGGCUGGCGAACUGGCAAUGGGUACUUAAAAGCUGACCACUAGGCCGGGUAAGGGUGAAAAGGUGCGGUAAGAGCGCACCAGCGGGCGGGUGACCGUCCCGGCUGGGUAAACCUCAGGGGUUGAAAGACCAAAUAAGCUGGUACGCCGGCUCAGCCUGCGGGCCGGGCCGGCACCGGGCGGCUCGUCCGGCGCCAGCGGGUAGGUUGAUGGAGCCUUUCCGCGAGGACUGGCCUAGAUAAAUGGUGGGGACGCGCCCCCAGGCGCGGACAAAACCCGGCUUACAGACCCAUCACCUCG
rnacentral:RNase_P_RNA from 1 species